rfam:Ictidomys tridecemlineatus contig010620, whole genome shotgun sequence.
GGGGUUGUAGCUCAGUGGCUGAGCCCUUGCUUCACAUGCAUGAGGCAUUGGGUUCAAUCCUCAGCACCACCU